GCCGGUGUGGCGGAAUUGGCAGACGCGAUGGACUCAAAAUCCAUUGCCCCUCGCGGGGCGUGAAGGUUCGAUUCCUUUCACCGGCA
rnacentral:tRNA from 1 species